GUCGAGCGAUGAGUUCCUUCGGGAACGGAUUAGCGGCGGACGGGUGAGUAACACGUGGGUAACCUGCCUCAUAGAGGGGAAUAGCCUUUCGAAAGGAAGAUUAAUACCGCAUAAGAUUGUAGUUUCGCAUGAAACAGCAAUUAAAGGAGUAAUCCGCUAUGAGAUGGACCCGCGUCGCAUUAGCUAGUUGGUGAGGUAACGGCUCACCAAGGCGACGAUGCGUAGCCGACCUGAGAGGGUGAUCGGCCACAUUGGGACUGAGACACGGCCCAGACUCCUACGGGAGGCAGCAGUGGGGAAUAUUGCACAAUGGGGGAAACCCUGAUGCAGCAACGCCGCGUGAGUGAUGACGGUCUUCGGAUUGUAAAACUCUGUCUUUGGGGACGAUAAUGACGGUACCCAAGGAGGAAGCCACGGCUAACUACGUGCCAGCAGCCGCGGUAAUACGUAGGUGGCAAGCGUUGUCCGGAUUUACUGGGCGUAAAGGGAGCGUAGGUGGAUAUUUAAGUGGGAUGUGAAAUACUCGGGCUUAACCUGAGUGCUGCAUUCCAAACUGGAUAUCUAGAGUGCAGGAGAGGAAAGUAGAAUUCCUAGUGUAGCGGUGAAAUGCGUAGAGAUUAGGAAGAAUACCAGUGGCGAAGGCGACUUUCUGGACUGUAACUGACACUGAGGCUCGAAAGCGUGGGGAGCAAACAGGAUUAGAUACCCUGGUAGUCCGCGCCGUAAACGAUGAAUACUAGGUGUAGGGGUUGUCAUGACCUCUGUGCCGCCGCUAACGCAUUAAGUAUUCCGCCUGGGGAGUACGGUCGCAAGAUUAAAACUCAAAGGAAUUGACGGGGGCCCGCGCAAGCAGCGGAGCAUGUGGUUUAAUUCGAAGCAACGCGAAGAACCUUACCUAGACUUGACAUCUCCUGAAUUACCCUUAAUCGGGGAAGCCCUUCGGGGCAGGAAGACAGGUGGUGCAUGGUUGUCGUCAGCUCGUGUCGUGAGAUGUUGGGUUAAGUCCCGCAACGAGCGCAACCCUUAUUGUUAGUCGCUACCAUUUAGUUGAGCACUCUAGCGAGACUGCCCGGGUUAACCGGGAGGAAGGUGGGGAUGACGUCAAAUCAUCAUGCCCCUUAUGUCUAGGGCUACACACGUGCUACAAUGGCUGGUACAGAGAGAUGCUAAACCGCGAGGUGGAGCCAAACUUCAAAACCAGUCUCAGUUCGGAUUGUAGGCUGAAACUCGCCUACAUGAAGCUGGAGUGCUAGUAAUCG
rnacentral:rRNA from 1 species